rnacentral:misc_RNA from 1 species
AACGCACAUUGCGCCCGCCAGAAUUCUGGCGGGCAUGCCUGUUCGAGCGUCAUUUCAACCCUCGGUCUCCCUCCGGGAGAGACCGGCGUUGGGGACCGGCACUUACCCCGCCGGCCCCGAAAUGAAGUGGCGGCCCGUCCGCGGCGACCUCUGCGUAGUAACUCCACUCGCACCGGGACCCGGGCGCGGCCACGCCGUAAAACCCCCAACUUCCGAAUGUUGACCUCGAAUCAGGUAGGAAUACCCGCUGAACUUAA